AGCGGAGGAAAAGAAACCAACUGGGAUUACCUUAGUAACGGCGAGUGAAGCGGUAAAAGCUCAAAUUUGAAAUCUGGUACUUUCAGUGCCCGAGUUGUAAUUUGUAGAAUUUGUCUUUGAUUAGGUCCUUGUCUAUGUUCCUUGGAACAGGACGUCAUAGAGGGUGAGAAUCCCGUUUGGCGAGGAUACCUUUUCUCUGUAAGACUUUUUCGAAGAGUCGAGUUGUUUGGGAAUGCAGCUCAAAGUGGGUGGUAAAUUCCAUCUAAAGCUAAAUAUUGGCGAGAGACCGAUAGCGAACAAGUACAGUGAUGGAAAGAUGAAAAGAACUUUGAAAAGAGAGUGAAAAAGUACGUGAAAUUGUUGAAAGGGAAGGGCAUUUGAUCAGACAUGGUGUUUUUUGCAUGCACUCGCCUCUCGUGGGCUUGGGCCUCUCAAAAAUUUCACUGGGCCAACAUCAAUUCUGGCAGCAGGAUAAAUCAUUAAGAAUGUAGCUACUUCGGUAGUGUUAUAGCUUUUUGGAAUACUGUUAGCCGGGAUUGAGGACUGCGCUUCGGCAAGGAUGUUGGCAUAAUGGUUA
rnacentral:rRNA from 1 species